rnacentral:lncRNA from 1 species
CCUCACCCUCUCAUAAUUUGCUUUUAGUACCACCUAGAGGCCCCAAGCUCUUAUUUCUCCAUGUAAUUUCCCAUUUCAAGAGGAAACACAGUAAAGAGAAUCUAUUUUCUCAUCUCUUGAAUCUGGGCUGGACAUAUGAUUUCCCUUGACCAACAGAAUGAUGCACAUGUGACAUUUUGAGAGUUCAGGAGAUGGCUCCUCAAGAAGCCCAGCAAUUUUUCUUUUCCUCUUGAAACAUUGUCAUGAUCCCCCUAAAUAAAGAAAUGGAGUCACUGGAAGAUAAUAAACCACGUUCAAAAGAAGUCAAAAGCUACAGUCCACAUGUAGCAUCCAGCAGCUUCACAUGUGAGCAAAGACAUCUGGGAUCAUUCAAUCUCUGUCAAGGCAUCUCAUGACUACAGCUCGAGAGCACCCCAGAUGGAACCCUUCAGAAAAGCUACUCAUUUGACCGCAGUUCACAUUUCUCACCCACAG